rnacentral:rRNA from 1 species
UUGGCUUAGAAGCAGCCAUCAUUUAAAGAAAGCGUAAUAGCUCACUGGUCGAGUCGGCCUGCGCGGAAGAUGUAACGGGGCUAAACCAUGCACCGAAGCUGCGGCAGCGACACUAUGUGUUGUUGGGUAGGGGAGCGUUCUGUAAGCCUGCGAAGGUGUCUCGUGAGGGAUGCUGGAGGUAUCAGAAGUGCGAAUGCUGACAUAAGUAACGAUAAUGCGGGUGAAAAACCCGCACGCCGGAAGACCAAGGGUUCCUGUCCAACGUUAAUCGGGGCAGGGUGAGUCGACCCCUAAGGCGAGGCCGAAAGGCGUAGUCGAUGGGAAACAGGUUAAUAUUCCUGUACUUGGUGUUACUGCGAAGGGGGGACGGAGAAGGCUAUGUUAGCCGGGCGACGGUUGUCCCGGUUUAAGCAUGUAGGCGGAGGUUCCAGGUAAAUCCGGUACCUUAUUAACGCUGAGGUGUGAUGACGAGGCACUACGGUGCUGAAGUAACAAAUGCCCUGCUUCCAGGAAAAGCCUCUAAGCAUCAGGUAACAUCAAAUCGUACCCCAAACCGACACAGGUGGUCAGGUAGAGAAUACCAAGGCGCUUGAGAGAACUC